rnacentral:rRNA from 1 species
AACGCUAGCUACAGGCUUAACACAUGCAAGUCGAGGGGCCAGCAUUUUAGUUUGCUUGCNAACCUAAAGAUGGCGACCGGCGCCCCCGAUAACUCGGGGAUAGCCUUUCGAAAGAAAGAUUAAUAUCCGAUAGUAUAUUAAAACCGCAUGGUUUUACUAUUAAAGAAUUUCGGUUAUCGAUGGGGAUGCGUUCCAUUAGUUUGUUGGCGGGGUAACGGCCCACCAAGACUACGAUGGAUAGGGGUUCUGAGAGGAAGGUCCCCCACAUUGGAACUGAGACACGGUCCAAACUCCUACGGGAGGCAGCAGUGAGGAAUAUUGGUCAAUGGACGAGAGUCUGAACCAGCCAAGUAGCGUGAAGGAUGACUGCCCUAUGGGUUGUAAACUUCUUUUAUAUGGGAAUAAAGUAUUCCACGUGUGGGAUUUUGUAUGUACCAUAUGAAUAAGGAUCGGCUAACUCCGUGCCAGCNGCCGCGGUAAUACGGAGGAUCCGAGCGUUAUCCGGAUUUAUUGGGUUUAAAGGGAGCGUAGGUGGACUGGUAAGUCAGUUGUGAAAGUUUGCGGCUCAACCGUAAAAUUGCAGUUGAUACUGUCAGUCUNGAGNACAGUAGAGGUGGGCGGAAUUCGNGGUGUAGCGGUGAAAUGCUUAGAUAUCACGAAGAACUCCGAUUG